rnacentral:rRNA from 1 species
GACGAACGCUGGCGGCGUGCUUAACACAUGCAAGUCGAACGGAAAGGCCUGCUUUCCCUUGUGGAUUCCGGGUACUCGCGUGGCGAACGGGUGAGUAAAACGUGAGUGAUCUGCCCCCAACUUGGGUAGAAGCCUGGGAAACUGGGUCUAAUUACCGCUAGCACUGCAGGGUGGUGCCGGUGGUGGAGACCGAUGGGCUAGUGGUCGGGGAUGAGCUGGCGGCCUAUCAGCUAGUUGGUUGGGAAGUGUCCUACCAAGGCGGCGACGGGUAGCCGGGCUGGGUGGGUGGCCGGCCACGUUGGGCCUGAGCAACGGCCCAGAGUUCUACGGGAGGCAGCAGUGGGGGAUAUUGCACAAGGGGCGUACGCCUGAUGCGGCGACGCCGCGUGGGGGAGGACGGCCUUCGGGUUGUACACUCCUGUCGUCCGCGAGGAAGCCACCUGGUUGGAAGGGUGGUGCCGGUAGUGGUAGAAGAAGCACCGGCAACCUCCUU